CUGUAAGCCUGUGAAGGUGUGCUGUGAGGCAUGCUGGAGGUAUCAGAAGUGCGAAUGCUGACAUAAGUAACGAUAAAGCGGGUGAAAAGCCCGCUCGCCGGAAGACCAAGGGUUCCUGUCCAACGUUAAUCGGGGCAGGGUGAGUCGACCCCUAAGGCGAGGCCGAAAGGCGUAGUCGAUGGGAAACAGGUUAAUAUUCCUGUACUUGGUGUUACUGCGAAGGGGGGACGGAGAAGGCUAUGUCGGCCGGGCGACGGUUGUCCCGGUUUAAGCGUGUAGGCUGACUUUCCAGGCAAAUCCGGAAAGUUAAGGCUGAGGCGUGAUGACGAGGCACCACGGUGCUGAAGUGACAAAUGCCCUGCUUCCAGGAAAAGCCUCUAAGCAUCAGGUAACAUCAAAUCGUACCCCAAACCGACACAGGUGGUCAGGUAGAGAAUACCAAGGCGCUUGAGAGAACUCGGGUGAAGGAACUAGGCAAAAUGGUGCCGUAACUUCGGGAGAAGGCACGCUGACAUGUAGGUGAAGCCCCUGCGGGUGGAGCUGAAGUCAGUCGAAGAUACCAGCUGGCUGCAACUGUUUAUUAAAAACACAGCACUGUGCAAACACGAAAGUGGACGUAUACGGUGUGACGCCUGCCCGGUGCCGGAAGGUUAAUUGAUGGGGUUAUCGCAAGAGAAGCUCCUGAUCGAAGCCCCGGUAAACGGCGGCCGUAACUAUAACGGUCCUAAGGUAGCGAAAUUCCUUGUCGGGUAAGUUCCGACCUGCACGAAUGGCGUAAUGAUGGCCAGGCUGUCUCCACCCGAGACUCAGUGAAAUUGAACUCGCUGUGAAGAUGCAGUGUACCCGCGGCAAGACGGAAAGACCCCGUGAACCUUUACUACAGCUUGACACUGAACAUUGAGCCUUGAUGUGUAGGAUAGGUGGGAGGCUUUGAAGCGUGGACGCCAGUCUGCGUGGAGCCGACCUUGAAAUACCACCCUUUAAUGUUU
rnacentral:rRNA from 1 species